CAGCAGCUAAGCAAAACAAUAAACACUUCGAACGGAAACAGGGUCAGCAGCUAAGCAAAACAAUAAACACUUCGAACGGAAACCCUAAUGUUACUGUCAUUAGCAUAUCCAGUUGUAUCUUGAGUUUUGAAACAGUACUAAAAUACAUUCUACCAAGGUGGACGAGUUACUUCCCGCUCUACUUGGUAGAAGUAAACAAUCACAACAACUGCUGCCUCAGAUUCAAGCACAUGAAAUGUGACUUGCUUGUCAUGGAUUUCUUCAUGUUGUAUGUCUAAUGGAUUAAGUCCCCAAAAUUGUGUUAUACUCAAUUAACGGCUCAUGGUUUAUAUAAUAAAGUACCUACAAAAGGACCAUGGAAUGUUAUUGAUACCCAGUUUGAGAAUCAACACCGAACGGGGCUAAAAUCAACAUAUAAAUACAGAGCCACGUACUGUCCGCAACAAGGACAAGAUAACACAAUUCGGAUAAGGAUUGAUGAACCCAAGAAUAGGAGCCUAACCUAACCUACAUAGAAGGCAACGUGGAAAAUCUACGAAUCAAGACAAAAUGGUGCUUAAUGAACAAGAGAAACAUGAAGAUCAACAUUUAGGCCAAGAUGAAGAGCAAGACUUGCAUUCAUUGAAACCUAGGCCUAAGCCUAUGUCACCUAGUAUGGGUAAACGAGUGAGAUGGCAAUCAGAAAAAGGUAAGAUGUAUAAUUUUGAUCUUCUGGUUGAUGAAUUCAAAAAACAAAAGAGAGUGUUGUGCAAAAUAAAUAAGGAAGCAGAUUUGACACUUUCUAAAAAUGAUUUUAAUGUAGACCUACUACAGGAUGUUGCAAAUAGGCUUCAAAUAGAAUUAGGGAAUAUUAACAUAACUCUCUCCAAAGUGAAAGAAUCAGAAAUACCAGAGGUUGACAUUGUACAGAGUUUAGAAUAUAAUUACCAGGAAAUAUGCUAUGAAAGUCACACUAGGUUAACAAAAUUAAAAGAAAAAAUGAAACAUGAACAAGAAGAUGAAAUGUCAAAUGUCUCUCUAAAGUCAAAGUCUUCAUCUAGUAGGUCACAUCAUACAAGUGUAAGUAAAUCUUCACGUUUUUCUAGUACUAAGAGAAUAGAACUAAGCACAAAACUGGCUAGGUUAGGCACAGAAAGAAACUACCAUGACAUAAUGGAGAAGGCUAGAGCAGAUUUAAAGAAAUUAGAAAUUGACAAAGAAAUUGAAGCCACUAAUGCUGAGAUAUGUGCAGUUAAUACAAUUUUAGAGGAAGAAAAUGAAACUGCUCCACAGUCAUGCUUGAGUUUUCUGUUAGGUGAAAAUAACCAACCCACUGAAGGUCUCUUGCACAGAUAUCUUGAGGAUAGUAGAGUUGUAAAUUAUUCGUUGUCAGGUUCCAGUGUACAAAAGUCCCUUUCCUUUGCUGGAGGUUUAGAUAGUAUAGACAAAGAUUUAGACAAAAGGAAGGCAGAAAUAAAGGCAAUGACUGAUCUAAAUCCAAAUGCUCAGGUGUUUAAAUUUCCAACAGAUUUCAUACAACCAGGGAAACCAAGGCUAGACCAUAAUUAUAAUUACCAGCCCAUAGGACGCUCACAGCCAAGUAAACUUAGGCUAGGCCAAGAAACAAACCAGAACUCAGAUUUCAAAAUACCAAAUGAGCCUAGGCUAGGUUGUAGUACUAUAGAUGAGGCAUCCCAUGAGGUAAUAGGUGAACCUAGGUUAAUAGUAGAUCCCAAAAAUGCCUUCACUUGCAAUACACAACCUGAUGUUUAUAGACCAAGGCUACACACUCAUGAACCCCUGGCAGAUUUUCAUGAACAACCUAACAUUAUCUAUAAUGAUAACGUACAGUCCAGUCAAGUUUAUCAAUGGGAUAUUUUAAAAGGUUUUGCUGAUCUUCAAAAUCAGAACUUAGAGAAACUAGCCGACUUGUUUGCUGCAAGGCAACGUAAAGACAAUUUACCCGUUAAAGAACAGAGGUAUUUUCUGGAGAUUUGAUGAAGUACCCUCAAUGGAAAGCAUCAUUUAUUACAUUAAUUGAAUAUAAAACAGAUGAUGCUGCUGAAAGAUUGUACUACUUAGGUAAAUAUACGGAUGGUCAGGCUAAAGCUGCCAUUGAUAAUCUUAUUUCUUUUGGCACCCAAGAGGCUUACGACAAGGCUUGGAAGAUACUUCAAAUAGGUUUGGAAAUAAAUUUAUUGUUGCUGAUGCCUUUAGAAGCAAGCUUGAAGGUUGGCCUAAGAUUACAAUUAAUGAUGGUCCAGGUUUGAGGAAAUUUUCUGAUUUCUUAGAACACUGUAAAACAGCCAUGGGAAUCAUAAAGUACUUAGCAAUUCUUAACAGUCCUAAGGAAAACAGAUGUAUGUUACAGAAGUUGCCUGCUCAAAUUGAAGAGAGAUGGAAUUGUAUAGUAACUAAAAGAAUCACAGUUGGUGAAGAGGAAUAUCCAUCUUUUGAAGAGUUUACAAGGUUCAUAAGUGAUGAAGCCAAUAAGGCAUGUAAUCCAACAUCAUCUUACAGUGCACUUAAUAGGAGAGAUACAGUAUUUACACCUAAAGAAAAACAACCACAAAGUAAGGUUGCAAAGCGUACAUCAUUUGCUACUAAAUUUAAUGAAGUUAAUACUGUUACAAAUGCUGCAUCUGAUGGAAAUAAAUCUAAAAAUGAAAAACAAACCGAGAGUAAAAUGAAUGUAGGAUUUACAUGCUAUUACUGUAGACAAAACCAUGAUAUGGAAAAAUGCCCAGAGUUCUUAAAACUUGAUCUUGCUCAAAGAAACCAAUAUUUGACAGAUAAAAAAAUGUGUAGAGGUUGUUUCAAGGUUUGUCAUUAUUCAAGGUAUUGUAAAACACCAAGGAAAUGUAUUAAAUGCAAGAGGUGGCACCCAACAAUUCUCCACGAUGAAACUUUGAAUAAAAAACCAAGUUCUGGUGAUACCCAACAAGAACAGGCUGUAGCUAUAGCUAAUAGAAUUAAUGUUAACAGAUAUUUUUCAGCUGAUGUUCACUCAAUGAUUGUACCUGUUUGGUUAAGCCAUAGAAAUACAAAUAAUAAGGUCAUGGUAUAUGCAGUAUUGGAUGAUCAGUCAGAUGCUUGUUUUAUCAAAGAAAGUGUCCUAAGGUAUAUGAAUAUCAAUGGCCAAAAUUCUGUCAUCAAGAUAGCGACUAUGCUAGGUGAAGAGGCUAUAAAAGUACUAAAGUGUUUGGUUUAUCAGUUAAGGGCAUAAAUGAAAAUAGUAAUGUAAAUUUACCAUGUGUCUACUCUAGAAAAACUGUUCCUGCAAGAAGAGCACAAAUCCCUAAAAAAUGUUCAGCUUUAAGAUGGCCUCAUCUAUUGAUAGGUAUAAACUGUAUAAAAGCUGUCAAACCUUUAGAAAUCAUUCCUGGGUCGGGAAAUGAGCCCUAUGGUCAGAGAACAGCUCUUGGAUGGGGAAUUAUUGGUAAUGUAAAUGUCAAUGAGAAUAAUUUAGAAAGUGAUGUUGUUGUUAAUAGAACUGUAGUUGAAGAAAUUGAAAUAAAUUCCAAGAUAUCAAAUAACAUUUUUACAGUACCAACCAAAGUAAAAGAAGUGUAUGAGCCUCAUCAUGUCAGAGAGAUGUUUGAAUCUGAUUUCAUAAGUAAUGUUAGUGACGAUGAGGUAGCUUUGUCAGUAGAAGAAAGACAGUUUAUUGAAAUUGUUAGUAAUGGUAUUAAGAUUAUUGAUGGUAAACAGUUUAAAAUUCCAUUGCCACUCAAAGGAGGUGAUAUUCAGUUCCCAGAUAAUAAGUUAGUAAUCCAGAAAAGACUAUCCAACUUAAAACAAAAGCUUCAGAAGAAUGUAAGCAUGAAAAAAUGAUUACAUAAAUUUCAUGAAGAAUAUGAUUGAUAAGGGUUAUGCUGAAAGGGUUCCUUUGAAUGAAACAUGCUUAACUAAUGGAAAGGUUUGGUUUGUGCCACAUCAUGGGGUUUACCAUCCCAGAAAGCCUGACAAAAUCAGAGUAGUAUUCGAUUGCUCUUUUAUGUAUAAAAAUGUAAGUUUGAAUGAUUGUUUACUUCAGGGACCAGACUUGUCAAAUAGUCUAGCUGGUAUUUUGUGUAGAUUUAGAAAUCAUUCUGUUGCAUUUACUUGUGAUGUAGAAGCAAUGUAUCACCAAGUUUUAGUAAAUGAAGAACACAGGAAUCUUUUACAAUUUCUGUGGUUUGAUAACCAUGACUUAGAUGGUGACAUUGUUCAAUAUGGGAUGACUGUUCAUCUAUUAUGUGCUAGAAGCUCUCCAUCUGUUGCAAACUAUGCUUUGAAAGCUGCUGCUGAUAAAUUUAAGGAUAAAAAUACUGAAAAGGCAGCAGAGUUCAUUAAAGAAGACUUUUAUGUGGAUGAUGGCUUAAAGUCUGUAGCUACAGUGGAGGAAGCCAUAAACUUAGCCAAAGACAGUCAGAUGAUAUGUAAAAGGGGUGGUUUCCAAUUGCACAAAUUUGUUGCCAUUAAUGCUGAAGUUUUAAAGGCUAUGUGUUCUGAUGAAGUUGCUCAAUCAGUUAAGAAUUGCCAGUGGAACGAACAUUAGGUAUGGAGUGGUGUACUGAAACAGAUACAUUUAAUUUUAAUGUCAAACUCAUUCAAAGGUCUAGUACUAUAAGGAAUGUUUUAUCCAUAGUUAGCUCUAUUUUUGAUCCUCUAGGCAUGAUAUCACCAUUCAUUCUUACAGGAAAGAAAGUUUUGCUAACCCUAUGUAAACAAGACCUUGGCUGGGAUGAUCCUAUUCCUGAAACUGUCUACUGAAUGGGAACACUGGUUAAGUCAAUUACCCAAAUUGAAAGAUAUUAAAGUUGAGAGAUGUUAUAAACCAGCCAACAUGAAUGUCAUAGACUAUGAAUUGCAUCAUUUUUCUGAUGCUAGUGAGAAGGGUUAUGGUCAAUGCUCAUACUUAAGAAUGACAGAUGCAAAUGGACAAGUACAUACUAGAUUAGUUAUGACUAAAUCAAGAGUGUCUCCCUUGAAAACUUUUACUAUACCUAGGUUAGAACUCACUGCUGCAUUAGCAUCAGUGAAGGUGAGUUAUUUCUUAAAAAAGGAGUUGAAGGUCAAUAUUAGUAAAGAAGUAUUUUGGGUAGAUAGUACAAUUGUUCUUGGAUACAUAGCUAAUCAAUGUAAACAGUUUAAGGUUUUUGUUGCAAACAGAGUUGCGCAAAUCAGAAAUCACACCUUACCUGAACAAUGGAGAUACGUUUCCUCAAGUGAUAAUCCUGCUGAUUUAUGUUCAAGAGGCAUGUCUGUUCAUGAUCUGACUAGUAACUAUAUGUGGUGGCAUGGACCUGAAUUCUUAAAACAUGAUAAUGCUGAUAAUGAAACUUUAUGUUCAUUUGGAGUUGCAGAUGAAGAUCCAGAAUUAAAGAAAGUGUCACUGGCAAUUAACACUGAUGAUAAUAAUUAUGCUACCAUACUUACCAGACUUAAUUACUUCUCAGAUUGGACACGUGCCAGAAGGUCAUUAGCUUUAUGUAAUAGGUUUAUUGAUAAAUUGAAACAGAAAUCAUUAUAUACUGAGUAUGUUCAUGUGUCUGUAGAAGAGCUAAUCAAGGCAGAAAUUACCAUUGUAAAAUUAGUCCAAAGAGAAGCUUUUCAAUAUGAAUAUCAGUUGUUAAGUAUAAGCAAUAACAAAUUUGAUAAAUGUUUAAGGAAAUCUAGCAAUUUGUACAAGCUUGAUCCAUUUAUUGGUAGUGAUGGCUUAAUAAGAGUGGGUGGUAGAUUACACAGAAGUAAUUUUGAUGUCCAUUUAAAAUAUCCUGUGAUUUUGCCAAAGAAUAGUCAUAUUACUGAAUUGAUAAUCUGUCACUAUCAUAAUAAAGUACACCAUCAAGGUAGAAAUUUAACUUUAAAUGAAAUUAGAUCUAGUGGUUACUGGAUUAUAAGUGGAUCAUCCUUAGUAGCGAAACAUAUAUCAAAAUGUGUAACUUGUAGAAAAAUUAGACAUGAUACUCUUACACAGAAGAUGGCCGAUUUACCAAAGGAUAGGGUAGAAAUGUCUUCUCCAUUCACUUACAGUGCAGUUGAUUAUUUUGGUCCAUUUAUAAUUAAGGAAGGUAGAAAAGAGCUCAAAAGGUAUGGUGUAUUAUUUACAUGUAUGUCAACUAGGGCAAUACACAUUGAAACUGCCCAUUCUCUCAGUACAGACUCUUUCUUAAAUGCUUAUUGGAGAUUUGUUUGUAGAAGAGGCCAUUGCGCACAACUUCGUUCAGAUCAAGGUAGUAACUUUAUUGGUGCAAGAGAAGAGUUUGCAAAGUGCCUCCGAGAAAUGAAUGUUGAAAAUAUUAAAAAUGAAUUAUUAAAGGACCAAUGUGAUUUUAUAACAUUUAAAACGAACCCACCUCAUGCAAGUCAUAUGGGUGGUGUUUGGGAGAGACAAAUAAGAUCUGUUAGAAAUAUUUUGAACGUAUUGCUAUCUAACAAUAGUAAAAUUUUAGACGAUGAAUCUUUGAGAACAUUCAUGACUGAAGCAGAAAAUAUUGUAAACGGGCGACCAUUAUCCACAGAUAACUUGAAUGAUCCUUUAAAUGUAGAACCUUUGACACCUAAUCAUUUUCUGACAUUGAAGUCUAAGGUAGUCUUGCCUCCUCCAGGUAAUUUUGUAAAAGAGGACAUGUUUUCAAAGAAAAAAUGGAGGCGUGUACAAUAUCUUCUUAAUCAGUUAUGGAAAGGUGGCAAAGAGAAUACUUACAAUCGUUACAAAUACGCCAAAAGUGGUUAAAGCCUCAAAUGAAUGUAGAAAUUGAUGGUAUAGUUUUAAUCAAAGACUAUAAUCUACCUCGCAACAAGUGGAUGUUAGGCCGAGUAUUAGAAACAAACCCAGAUGAAGCUGGCCAUGUUAGAAAAAUUAAAUUGUUAGUAGCAGAUGCUUUUCUUGAUGAAAAUGGUAAACGCCACAAGACAGCUACAAUUCUAUAAAGGUCUAUUCAUGCAGUUGUAAUGUUAUUAGAAAGUACAGCAGGGAAGUCCCCAUCAGGGAGCAUUUAAGUCAUUAUGUACUGUAUAUUUUUAUUUUGUAUGGAAUGGACUAACCUGUAUAUUGUGAUUUUAUAGUUUGUAAAGAAUCUCAUAUUCAUUCCCCAAUAGUAUAGUUAUUGUUUAAAUUGUUAUCACAAUUUAGGGGAGCCAUUGUUACUGUCAUUAGCAUAUCCAGUUAUAUCUUGAGUUUUGAAACAAUACUAAAAUACAUUCUACCAAGGUGGACGAGUUACUUCCCGCUCUACUGGGUAGAAGUAAACAAUCACAACAACUGCUGCCUCAGAUUCAAGCACAUGAAAUGUGACUUGCUUGUCAUGGAUUUCUUCAUGUUGUAUGUCUAAUGGAUUAAGUCCCCAAAAUUGUGUUAUACUCAAUUAACGGCUCAUGGUUUAUAUAAUAAAGUACCUACAAAAGGACCAUGGAAUGUUAUUGAUACCCAGUUUGAGAAUCAACACCGAACGGGGCUAAAAUCAACAUAUAAAUACAGAGCCA